GAAACGGUGGCCGAGUGGUUAAGGCGAUUGACUGCUAAUCCCUUGGGGUUUUCCGGCGUGGAGUUUAGUCCCCUUUUUGCCGUUUUA